CACUAAAAAUGACGGAACAUCUGGUUAUUCGGUUUCGAUUUGACAGCUGUAAUGAGGAUCAGGAAUUUCACAUCAGCUCUCCAGCUGCUGUUGUGUUUAUCUGUAUUUGUUGCUAGGACAGAGGACGUUAUUAUUAACACCCUACAAGAUGAAUCUGUUCUCUCAUAUAUGAUACAUUGACGUCAUAACUAGCCUCACCCAAAACCCCAGAAGCAGCCACUGUUAUAAAAGUAAGCAUUGCAUUGGUCUAAACAAUUACACUGAGAAAAUGAGCAUCAAAUGCUCACCAAUUACAAAAUCUUUUUCAGUGAAUUAAAGAGCUGGAUUAAAGUGCACUUAUCUAUGUUUCCUUUCCAACCAUACAAAUCAUCAGUGGCAAGCAUUGAUUCAAAGAGGGAAAUGUGGACUGUUGGAGAUAUGUAUAUAUUCACAGUGAAUGUAAGCGAGUUUGCACCAGAAGAAGUUAUUGUAACCUCCACCAAUACUUCAAUACAAGUCUGUGCAGAAAAGUUGGCAUCAGAUCGUGGACGCUGUUCGUCAGAAGUGUCAGUUCCCAGCUGAUGUGGAUCCAAUGUCAGUCACAUCUU